CACGCCGUAAACGAUGUCAACUAGCCGUUGGGAGCCUUGAGCUCUUAGUGGCGCAGCUAACGCAUUAAGUUGACCGCCUGGGGAGUACGGCCGCAAGGUUAAAACUCAAAUGAAUUGACGGGGGCCCGCACAAGCAGCGGAGCAUGUGGUUUAAUUCGAAGCAACGCGAAGAACCUUACCUAGACUUGACAUCUCCUGAAUUACCCGUAAUGGGGGAAGCUCUUCGGAGCAGGAAGACAGGUGG
rnacentral:rRNA from 1 species